rnacentral:sRNA from 1 species
AGUUGAUGCACAUGGCGGUUUCCUCCCAGUUCCGCAGCAACAACUGUUCCCCUCUGGAGGUUCAUACCUUCAAAACUAAUGGGCCGCGGUUUUCCGACGGCCCUUUUUU